rnacentral:rRNA from 1 species
AAUAUUGCACAAUGGGCGAAAGUCUGAUGCAGCAACGCCGCGUGAGUGAUGAAGGCCUUCGGGUCNUAAAGCUCUUUUAUCAGGGANUAUAAUGACAGUACCUGCAAAACAAGCCCCGGCUAACUUCGUUCCAGCAGCCGCGGUAAUACGUAGGUGGCGAGCGUCGUCCGGAAUUACUGGGCGUAAAGGAUGCGUAGGUGGAUACUUAAGUGGGAUGUGAAAUCCCCGGGCUCAACCCGGGAACUGCAUUCCAAACUGGGUAUCUAGAGUGCAGGAGAGGAAAGCGGAAUUCCUAGUGUAGCGGUGAAAUGCGUAGAUAUUAGGAGGAACACCAGUGGCGAAGGCGGCUUUCUGGACUGUAACUGACACUGAGGCAUGAAAGCGUGGGUAGCAAACAGG